rnacentral:sRNA from 1 species
GCCGGGUGUGGUGAUGCAUGCCUGUAAUCCAUGUGGCUCAGGGGGCUGAGGCAGGAGGAUCACAAGUUUAAAGCCAGCCUUAGCAAAAGCAAGGUACUAAGCAACUUGAUGAGACCCUGUUUCUA